UACGUAGGGACCAAGCGUUGUUCGGAUUUACUGGGCGUAAAGGGCGCGUAGGCGGUCAGCACAAGUCAGUUGUGAAAUCUCCGGGCUUAACUCGGAAAGGUCAACUGAUACUGUGCGACUAGAGUGCGGAAGGGGCAACUGGAAUUCUCGGUGUAGCGGUGAAAUGCGUAGAUAUCGAGAGGAACACCUGCGGCGAAGGCGGGUUGCUGGGCUGACACUGACGCUGAUGCGCGAAAGCCAGGGGAGCGAACAGG
rnacentral:rRNA from 1 species